GACGUAUAUACAGAAAACAUACACAUAGCUGUAUAUACUAGGACGUAUAUACAGAAAUUCAGAUGUUAUGUUCUGCUAUUUGUAAUAGCACCCAUGGUAGUCGUAACAAAUUAGGCAGUUUUGAUUCAGCCAGGAUAUCAAUACUAACAUGCAACCCGCAUGUCCCAGGUUCACAGCCCUAAGAAGGGCUUCUCUAUGCACCAUGCUCUUUGUAGAGCAUGGUGAAUACAAGGUCAUGUAGGAACAGUAAAAGGGGGCAUCGCUUUAAACUGGAAGAGGGAAGAUUUAUAUGAGGUAUUAGGAAGACGUUCUCCUUGUGAAGGUGGUGAGGCGCUGGCACAGGUUGCCCAGAGAAGCUGUGGCUGCCCCAUCCCUGGCAGUAUUCAAGGCCAGGUUGGACGGGGCUUGGAGCAACCUGGUCUAGUGGAAGGUGCCCCUGCCUGUGGCAGGGGGUUGGAACUGGAUGAGCUUUAAGGUCCCUUCCAACCCAAACCAGUCUGGGAUUCUAUGUUUUGCAUUAAUCUUGCCAUCCGCUGCAAGCACAAUUACUGAUAAUGUGAAUGUCAGUCUUAAAUACAGCAUAUACUGAAAAAAAUAACUCUUUGCAGACUAAUUAGCAGGAGAAUUGAAUUGCAAGGCUUUUGCAGGUAAAAAUCAGUUUCUGUGUUUACAACUGAUAAUCAGAUUUGCCAAAUUAAGAGUAAUAACGACAUGUGUCUAGCAUCAUGCUAAUUUCCCAAAUACUCUACAUGAGCUUCUCUGAAACAAGCCAGUCGUACUUAUAAUGAACAGCAGGACUGGCUGAUGUCUGAUAUAGUCUAUUUAAGGUAAUUGUUAUGCUUCAGUGUUUUUGUUUUGUUCUUUUUAAAGAAAUUGCACAGGCUGAAAGGAAACCUAGGGAUUCAUUUCUGUAAUUGGUAACUGUUCUCUUCAACAGCAUCACACUGACAGAUGAGCAAGCUCUAUAGGAGCUAAAUCUUCUUUAAAUAAUCAGUCAAUUGGAAGUUACUAAUUAAGAUCUGAAGAGAUCUUGUCAAAGAAAGAUUGCUUUAUGAGGUGGACAGCUGGGAUAAGUGGGACAUAAAAAGGAAAGAGGGAACUCAGUAAGUUGGGAAAGGUUUUCUCCUGGGAGUUGAAUGAGUCAACAAAGUCACACUCUUAUGAAAAAGAUGGAGUACAAUGCUGAAUACCAAAAUGCAUGAGGAAGAAUGUAACCCCGCUUGAUAUAUACAGUAAUCUUUUUGCUAUUUUUAGCAUGGAAAAACCUCAGCUGGAUGUCUCUGGCAUUGCAGUUCAAGAGGAUGUGGACCAGUUGGAAAGAGCCCAAGGAGGAGCAUUGAGCAUAAUUAGGGGUCUUGGAUAUGACCAAGGAGGACCAUUUCCAGAUCUCUCCACUGGCUCUGGGUAACCCAGAUAUCGGAGUAAACAAUAAACUGACCCAACCAGCAGACAGCCCCAUGGGAAGCAGAGGUUUGGCAAAGACUGACUGAUGUAGCAUGAAAACAACAGAACGCUUUUUAAAUGAAUAAAGUAAACAACAUUG
rnacentral:lncRNA from 1 species